rnacentral:rRNA from 1 species
CCUACGGGAGGCAGCAGUGAGGAAUAUUGGUCAAUGGGCGGAAGCCUGAACCAGCCAAGUCGCGUGAGGGAAUAAGGCCCUACGGGUCGUAAACCUCUUUUGCCGGGGAGCAAGGGCCGGGACGCGUCCCGGCCCGGAGAGUACCCGGAGAAAAAGCAUCGGAUAACACCGUGCCAGCAGCCGCGGUAAUACGGAGGAUGAGGGCGUUAUCCGGAUUUAAUGGGUUUAAAGGGUGCGUAGGCGGGCUGUUAAGUCAGCGGUAAAAAUUCGGGGCUCAACCCCGUCCGGCCGGUGAAACGGGUGGCCGUGAGUGGGCGAGAAGAAGGCGGAAUGCGUGGUGUAGCGGUGAAAUGCAUAGAUAUCACGCAGAACCCCGAUUGCGAAGGCAGCCUUCCGGCGCCCUACUGACGCUGAGGCACGAAAGUGCGGGGAUCGAACAGGAUUAGAUACCCUGGUAGUC